GACUCUGGUGGUCUUCUUCGGGGAAUAAACGGUCUGGGCAUAACAAAUGGGGGCUCGUCCGGGAUUUCCCCCAAGCCCACCAGACCUCCAAGUCAACGGAUCUUAAUCUCCUUACAGAAAAUUCACCAGGAAAUUUGGCCCAGGCUACGAGAACUGUACGAAGCAGGACCUCCGCCGACGCCCCAUCCGUUCCAGCCAGGAGACUGGGUCCUAGUCAAGCGCCACCGGCAAGAAACUCUCCAACCCAGGUGGAAAGGACCACUGCAAGUACUCCUGACUACUCCCACCGCUGUCAACGUAGAAGGCAUCACUUCGUGGAUCCACUCCACACACGUCAAACCAGUGGACCCAACAUCCGACCUUCUUGGGCCGUAUGGAGCACCGGUUACAUGGACUGUAGACAAAGCUAAGAACAAUCCCUUAAAGCUAACCCUGCGCCGUCAUCCCCAUAGCCGUAACCAUGUCCAGCUUACCAAUGUUCUUAUAUCUUAUGCAUCUAACUCUCCUCACUGCUGCUCCGUCUAAUCCCUAUCUCUGGAGGUUUUGGCUCUAUGAAAACAAAACUCACCCCGGGGAAACCCCCCAGGCGGGUAAACUGCUAGCUAGUGCAGACUGCCCCCCCUCCGGGUGCAGUACGCCGAUUUACCUCCCUGUAUCGUGACCCAUACCAAGAAAAAUAUCCCUACUGCUAUUCGGCACAUAGCAACAGCCUCUGCAACCAAUCGGCUGCAAGAAUGCUGUUUCUAUAUAAAUGAGUCAGGAUUAGUUGAGGAGAGAGUCCAACGUCUACAUAAACUAAGCUUAGAAAUGAAAAAGCAACAGUUUACUACAGCAGCUAAUAAUUGGUGGAACUCUUCCAUGUUUUCUCUUCUAGCACCUUUCAUAGGCCCCCUGAUGUCUUUACUGCUUCUGCUGACUAUAGGCCCCUGUGUAGUAAACAAAAUUCUACAAUUUGUUAGACAAAGAUUUGAUACCAUCCAAUUAAUGGUCCUCCGCAGCCAUUACCAACCCCUUCCUCACCCUGAAGAAGAGAUCACUCUAUGACAGUUCAGGGUCCAGGAUUGGACACUCAGUUACUUGUGAGAGGG